UGCCACCAUAAAAAAUGCGAUGAACUGAAAUUCCUGUGUGACGCCUUAUGACAUCACCCUAUUAAACUUUUACAGGCCGUCCAGAGCUCCCCAAUGGCGAGGUGAUUUUAUUAAAUGCUCCAGAAGGUAGUCACCGAGAUCCAGUUGUGGUGACCUGGCCGUGAGUCCUGAUGCUCUCACCGUCCCGCAUUGACCCAGCCGAACCGAACCCGGGACCAGCACGCUCCCAACUCUCUCCUGCUGAACUUGCCGGGAACAAAAGGCUCCGUUCCAGAUCCAGCCCGCAGUUGCCGUGAGAAACUUCCUCGCAAGGCUGUUCUGUGGCUGCGCUCCCUCCUCCUGCCUCGGGAAAAUGAAAAUGGCAGAGCCAGAGCUGGAUGAAAAGGGGGAAAAAACCUCCUUUCUCAGCGCCUGCUUUCCCGCAGCAGCCCCCUCCCUGCCCCAGCCGUGACGCCUCGACCCCAACUUCUCCAAAAAUACACUUUAAGAGGGCAGAAUUUCACGGGAGCGAAUAUAUAGCUAUAUUUUCUUUUACUUUCCACUGAAAAGAGCAGAGAAGCAGAGGGACGGCUGCUGGGAGAUUCUCUGUGCAGGCGAACCCGCUGCUGCUUUCCCCUCCCUGCACAUCAUCACCACUUCCCAAGUACUUGAAACGGGGUAAUACUUUUGCUUCAGUGGGAAAAUCCAGGCCCAGAGUUGAGCUCUUUCUCUUUUGGCACCUUUAAGCCCUUUUUUUUAACUCUUCCGAGCGGGGUUUGCAGUGUAAAACACUUUGCUCUGUGAGCCCACCCGACAGCUCCCAAACCUGGUGGGAUUCAGUCAGAAAUCAGACGGUUGGCUCCUGAUCCAGCGCAGGGGGUUUUAGAAACUCUGCUCCGCGUUUUGUUUGAUAUAUAUAUGGGGUUUUUUUAAGUAGAUUUACUCUUCCUGCCCAGAGCUGCUGUUUGAGGGCGGCUGUGGAGCCCGGUGUGCAAACCCGCCCGUAUGCAAUAAAUGCAGUUUGCUCUUUC